ACUGCUCAGUAACACGUGGAUAACCUGCCCAAGGGUCUGGGAUAACCCCGGGAAACUGGGGAUAAUACCGGAUGGAUCACUAGUGCUGGAAUGCUUGGUGGUUUAAAGGUAACGCCUUUGGAUGGGUCUGCGGCGGAUUAGGUUGACGCCGGUGUAACGUACCGGCGUGCCUGUAAUCCGUACGGGUUGUGGGAGCAAGAGCCCGGAGAUGGAUUCUGAGACACGAAUCCAGGCCCUACGGGGCGCAGCAGGCGCGAAAACUCUACAAUGCAGGCAACUGCGAUAGGGGGACAUCGAGUGGCAUCCACCUUGGGUGCCUGUCCAACCGUCUAAAAAACGGUUGUUAGCAAGGGCCGGGUAAGACCGGUGCCAGCCGCCGCGGUAAUACCGGCGGCUCGAGUGGUGGCCGAUAUUAUUGAGUCUAAAGGGUCCGUAGCCGGCUUGGCAAGUCUCUUGGGAAAUCCGGCGGCUUAACCGUCGGUCGUCCGGGAGAUACUACUUUGCUUGGGACUGGGAGAGGCGUGAGGUACUCAGGGGGUAGGAGUGAAAUCCUGUAAUCCUUUGGGGACCACCGGUGGCGAAGGCGUCACGCCAGAACAGGUCCGACGGUGAGGGACGAAAGCUAGGGGCACGAACCGGAUUAGAUACCCGGGUAGUCCUAGCCGUAAACGAUGCUCGCUAGGUGUCACGACAAUCGUGAAUUGUCGUGGUGCCGUAGGGAAGCCGUGAAGCGAGCCACUUGGGAAGUACGACCGCAAGGUUGAAACUUAAAGGAAUUGGCGGGGGAGCAC
rnacentral:rRNA from 1 species